UACGUAGGGGGCAAGCGUUGUCCGGAUUUAUUGGGCGUAAAGAGCUCGUAGGCGGUUCCGUAAGUCGGAUGUGAAAAAUCUGGGCUCAACCCAGUGGAGCACCCGAUACUGCGGUGACUCGAGUCCGGUAGGGGAGUGUGGAAUUCCUGGUGUAGCGGUGAAAUGCGCAGAUAUCAGGAGGAACACCGACGGCGAAGGCAGCACUCUGGGCCGGUACUGACGCUGAGGAGCGAAAGCGUGGGGAGCGAACAGG
rnacentral:rRNA from 1 species